ACUAGAGCCAAAUCUAUCUCAAAAGUUUAUGUCAUUUUUUUUCCUUUUUGAUAGUAUUCAAUGAGAAAUAACACUUUAAAUAAAACUUUUUCCAUGAGGAAGGUACAGUAAUUAUCCAC
rnacentral:lncRNA from 1 species